GCGGGAAUAGCUCAGCGGUAGAGCGCCAGCCUUCCAAGCU
rnacentral:tRNA from 1 species